AAUGCCACACCAGAGGCUUCAAAUUCCCGUUUGGCUCGAUUUCAGCAGUUUCCCACAUCUACGAAUUAGCCUGAAGAGCAAACUGUUCAUCUCUCAACAUGACGAAGACAGAAGGCAUCAAAAGAAAGUUAAAGCCUGUGAUAGAGAAGAAGAGAAGGGAUCGAAUCAACCAUAACCUAGAUGCAUUAAGAUAUCUGCUUUUCAAGAACACUGCAGACACGUGUUUACAAAAUCCUAAACUGGAAAAAGCAGAGAUUUUAGACCUUGCGGUUCAAUACAUCAAAAAGACCACAAGAAAAAC